rnacentral:lncRNA from 1 species
AUGGAAGGAGGUGAUAAUCACAGCCAAGGACCAAUGGGAAGGAAGCCUUGGUGGUGAGGAUCCUGGGCCUCUCCCCAGCGCCCGCCCAGCCUCAGGAAUUACAUGCCCAACUUGACCCGUCAAUGAUGUCCACUGAUGCGAAUGUGGCACUGAGACCAGAAAAGCCCUCUGUGACUCAGAAACAAUGCACUACGUGUCCACUAGACUCUCAGAGAGGCCGAGCGCGUGAACAAGCCAGGGAGGGACAGAAAAAGAGGAGGAAAACAGCCACGGGCAGACCCGGUAGGAGAAGAAAGCCUCAGUCCAACAGAGCAGCUUUAAAAAGCCAUCCCCAGACCUGCUUUCCCUGCAAAGAAAGCCUUCAUCUUAGAAAUUAACUGCUCGCGCGCCCUCUCCCUGUCUCGGUCCAAGGGGAAAAGCCAAGCGCUUGGAUAUCUGCCUUUGUCAGCGAAAGAGCAUAACAUGGACUUACCUUUCCCCACAGCUAUUGUCUGUCCUCCUUCAAAAUGACAUCACGGAAAGCAAUCAUGAAAUUUACAUGGGGGGUGCAGGGUGGACGGGGGAGGAGAGGGGAGGCAGCUGCCUCCCUUACAGCGGUCACAUGUGGGGAAGCCUGUGUGCGGGUUUCAAUUAAAUAUCUUCUCCCCUUAGUGUGCGACUCCUAAGCCAGCUAAAGGCAACGUCUCAUUUACUUAAUGACCGCUCUCAUUAGCAGCGGUGGCACGGGCUGGCGGAGAGGCUUCUUUGUAAAUACGCUACCCAUGAACCCUUGGGGCUCCAAUAUAUCUGUUUACUCUCCGAGGUGAAAUAAAUUUACAGUAUAGCAUCAGAAAGAU